rnacentral:ncRNA from 2 species
CAUAGUUUGUGCGUGUAAGGUGCCGCUGUCGCUUCUUGGCGCGGCGGAUAAUUGGGAAGUCGGUGAGAAUCCGGCACUGCCCCCGCAACGGUAAAGAAGGUGUACUGCGGCAAAAACCACUGGGACGAGGAUCCCGGGAAGGUGCUGCAGACCGUCAACCCCUUCUAAGUCCGGAAACCAGCCUUGCGAAUAUGUCAAAC